UACGGGGGGGGUAAGCGUUGUUCGGAAUUACUGGGCGUAAAGGGCUCGUAGGCGGCCAACUAAGUCAUACGUGAAAUCCCUCAGCUUAACUGGGGAACUGCGUCUGAUACUGAAUGGCUUGGAUUCGGGAGAGGAAUGCGGAAUUCCAGGUGUAGCGGUGAAAUGCGUAGAUAUCUGGAGGAACACCGGUGGCGAAGGCGGCAUUCUGGACCGACAUUGACGCUGAGGAGCGAAAGCCAGGGGAGCAAACGGG
rnacentral:rRNA from 1 species